GCACACUGGGGGAUUGAAGGGAGGUCUAGGGCCCCACCCUCCCCUACCUACCUUCUCCAAUUGCUCAGAUAAUUCACAAUUGGACAAAUAGGGUCGAAGGUCGGUUCUGACUCCUUCAGGGAGCUUGCUGAACCACGUUGGGUAGGUGGAGCUCAAAUCCCGGUGCAGGCCGUCAGGGAGGUGGAGCUCAGGCGGCAGCAGCCCAGUAGACACCAGAUACAUCACUCGCUCAGUGUUCCUGGGGACAGGGGUAGAAUCAUUUGAAACCAUUUCGGCCUUUGAGACAACCUCUCCUCUCUUCUAUUCUAGGUGAGAAUGGAAAUCCCUAGCUUGGUUUCUGAUCUGGUUCGAAGUAAAGGCUGUGCUGAAGCCAAGGUCUCGAGGAUCCUGACACCCACGGUCCCAAUCACAGGGGUGUCCAUGUGAGGCCAGAGAACUUUCGCCUUCAUGGACCCCUGGACGGGUCUUCCCUGCAGUAGCACUGAGGGCUCCAGGACCCCCGCCUCCUCCCGGACAACCGCAGGCUGACAUGGAAGCCCCUCUGCUUUCUUGACCAGCUGGCCUCUCCACCCUCUCAACCCACAGUGCCUUCACCUCAGACACUCCAGCCACAGUCAGCUACAUGAGGCUCCGGAUAAAGACACAGAAGAGGAUGAUGUAGGGAAGGAGUACCGAGACAUACAGCAUCUGGGGAGGAAGUGUGCCUCGGAGAGUU